GUCGAGCGAACCAAUAAGAAGCUUGCUUUUUGUUGGUUAGCGGCGGACGGGUGAGUAACACGUGGGUAACCUGCCUGUAAGACCGGGAUAACUCCGGGAAACCGGUGCUAAUACCGGAUAGAUUAUCUUUCCACCUGGAGAGAUAAGGAAAGAUGGCUUUUGCCAUCACUUACAGAUGGGCCCGCGGCGCAUUAGCUAGUUGGUGAGGUAACGGCUCACCAAGGCGACGAUGCGUAGCCGACCUGAGAGGGUGAUCGGCCACACUGGGACUGAGACACGGCCCGGACUCCUACGGGAGGCAGCAGUAGGGAAUCUUCCGCAAUGGACGAAAGUCUGACGGAGCAACGCCGCGUGAGCGAAGAAGGUCUUCGGAUCGUAAAGCUCUGUUGUUAGGGAAGAACAAGUAUCGGAGGAAAUGCCGGUACCUUGACGGUACCUGACGAGAAAGCCACGGCUAACUACGUGCCAGCAGCCGCGGUAAUACGUAGGUGGCAAGCGUUGUCCGGAAUUAUUGGGCGUAAAGCGCGCGCAGGCGGUCCUUUAAGUCUGAUGUGAAAUCUUGCGGCUCAAC
rnacentral:rRNA from 1 species